GAUGAACGCUGGCGGCGUGCCUAAUACAUGCAAGUCGAGCGAACGGACGCGAAGCUUGCUUCUCUGAUGUUAGCGGCGGACGGGUGAGUAACACGUGGAUAACCUACCUAUAAGACUGGGAUAACUUCGGGAAACCGGAGCUAAUACCGGAUAAUAUUUUGAACCGCAUUGUUCAAAAGUGAAAGACGGUCUUGCUGUCACUUAUACAUGGAUCCGCGCUGCAUUAGCUAGUUGUUAAGGUAACGGCUUACCAAGGCAACGAUGCAUAGCCGACCUGAGAGGGUGAGCGGCCACACUGGAACUGAGACACGGUCCAGACUCCUACGGGAGGCAGCAGUAGGGAAUGUUACGCAAUGGGCGAAAGCCUGACGGAGCAACGCCGCGUGAGUGAUGAAGGUAUGCGGAUCGUAAAACUCUGUUAUUAGGGAAGAACAUAUGUGUAAGUAACUGUGAACAUAUUGACGGUACCUAAUCAGAAAGCCACGGCUAACUACGUG
rnacentral:rRNA from 1 species